rnacentral:tRNA from 1 species
GUAAAUAUAGUUUAACCAAAACAUUAGAUUGUGAAUCUAAUAAUAGAAGAUGACAGCUUCUUAUUUACC